CUCGUAGGCGGUUCGUCGCGUCCGGUGUGAAAGUCCAUCGCCUAACGGUGGAUCUGCGCCGGGUACGGGCGGGCUGGAGUGCGGUAAGGGAGACUGGAAUUCCCGGUGUAACGGUGGGAAUGUGUAGAUAUCGGGAAGAACACCAAUGGCGAAGGCAGGUCUCUGGGCCGUUACUGACGCUGAGGAGCGAAAGCGUGGGGAGCGAACA
rnacentral:rRNA from 1 species